rnacentral:rRNA from 1 species
GAUGAACGCUGGCGGCGUGCCUAAUACAUGCAAGUCGAGCGAACAGACGAGGAGCUUGCUCCUUCGACGUUAGCGGCGGACGGGUGAGUAACACGUAGGUAACCUACCUAUAAGACUGGGAUAACUUCGGGAAACCGGAGCUAAUACCGGAUAAUAUUUCGAACCGCAUGGUUCGAUAGUGAAGGAUGGCUUUGCUAUCACUUAUAGAUGGACCUGCGCCGUAUUAGCUAGUUGGUAAGGUAACGGCUUACCAAGGCAACGAUACGUAGCCGACCUGAGAGGGUGAUCGGCCACACUGGAACUGAGACACGGUCCAGACUCCUACGGGAGGCAGCAGUAGGGUAUCUUCCGCAAUGGGCGAAAGCCUGACGGAGCAACGCCGCGUGAGUGAUGAAGGUCUUCGGAUCGUAAAACUCUGUUAUUAGGGAAGAACAAACGUGUAAGUAACUGUGCACGUCUUGACGGUACCUAAUCAGAAAGCCACGGCUAACUACGUG